rnacentral:rRNA from 1 species
GUAGGGAAUCUUCGGCAAUGGACGAAAGUCUGACCGAGCAACGCCGCGUGAGUGAAGAAGGUUUUCGGAUCGUAAAGCUCUGUUGUUGUUAAAGAACGUUGAUGAGAGUGGAAAGUUCAUCAAGUGACGGUAAACAACCAGAAAGGGACGGCUAACUACGUGCCAGCAGCCGCGGUAAUACGUAGGUCCCGAGCGUUGUCCGGAUUUAUUGGGCGUAAAGCGAGCGCAGGUGGUUUCUUAAGUCUGGUGUCAAAGGCUACUGCUCAACAGUAGUGUGCAUUGGAAACUGGGAGACUUGAGUGCAGGAGAGGAGAGUGGAAUUCCAUGUGUAGCGGUGAAAUGCGUAGAUAUAUGGAGGAACACCGGAGGCGAAAGCGGCUCUCUGGCCUGUAACUGACACUGAGGCUCGAAAGCGUGGGGAGCAAACAGGAUUAGAUACCCUAGUAGUCC